rnacentral:tRNA from 1 species
GCCUGACUGGCUCAGUCUUUGGAGCAUGUGACUCUUGAUCUUACAGUUGUGGGUUCAAGCCCCAUGGUGGGUG